AAAAUCCAACAGACUUUCAAACAUGGGGUAUCCUUCUUCCCCAACUCCCUUUUGGUGAUGUGUCCAACUUAAAUAUCUCACCCUCUCCCAGUCGGUUUUAAUUGAAUCCUGUAAAGUAAAAAAAAGCCUGAAUGAUUUCAGGUACUCCCUUCUAGUCUCUUCUUCUGUCAGUCAUUUUAUCCAUAACAUAGGUAUGGUACCGUACAAUCUUUAAUAACUAGUCAUUUUAGAUAGUCUGUUUUGUUUUUUUAUCCAUACCCCUUUUCCCGCAGUGUCAGCAUCUUCUUAAAGCAAAACUUUAAGAUUUACAUUGGAAAUUUUGUAGUUUUUCUCUUUCGGUGUGCCACAUCUCGUUUCCAUUCUUUCCCCUUCACUUGCUGCUACCCCGCGGCUCCUCGUCUCUCCUCCGCUGCUGCAGCAUCUCCUCCUGGCUCACAACAUCGUAGCCCCUUUCCUUCAUGUCCUCCGCUGCUGUCCUGGCACUUUCGUUUGUCUUCGUUCAGUUCGCCCAGUGUAUCCGGAUUUUAGCAAGUGGUGUCUGGAAACGUAUUCCUUUCUCCUUCAAUAUUUUUUAAUGCCCUUAUAUGCCUUUUGUUUUUGGACAAUCUUGGUUGGAUAAUCAUGGUCAAAGUAGAUUUGUUUACCCGUUACCUGGAUCUUUUUCUGCUACGCAGCAAAUUGUGCAGAGUUAAAUCAAUACUAUUGUAUUUGGUCCUUUUCAGAAUUGGCAUUAAUUUAAAUCUUAAAGUUAUAACCAUUUAAAGUUAUAAAAAGGCAAUAGACGCAAAAGACGAAGUAAAUCUGCCAUGUCUCUAAGAAAAAAAUAAGAAUUAAUUUUUAGGUCCCCCCCAUCAUUGUUAGAACAAUGAUUCAGUCCGAAGUGUAGGACUGAACCAACUUUGAGUACUGGUUUAUUGACUUAGUCAAUGUAUGGGGAACUACCAGGCAGAACCUUUGAGUAAAACUGGUUUCUAGUUCAGUACCCCACAUUUCCUCUUGCAGACCAGUUCUGCAUUUGUAUAGCAG